rnacentral:sRNA from 1 species
AAAUGAAUCAAUACCUGCUGACACCUU